GUGGGGAAUCUUGCGCAAUGGGCGAAAGCCUGACGCAGCCAUGCCGCGUGGAUGAUGAAGGUCUUAGGAUUGUAAAAUCCUUUCACCGGUGAAGAUAAUGACUGUAGCCGGAGAAGAAGCCCCGGCUAACUUCGUGCCAGCAGCCGCGGUAAUACGAAGGGGGCUAGCGUUGCUCGUAUUUACUGGGCGUAAAGGGCGCGUAGGCGGACAUUUAAGUACGGGGUGAGAUCCCGGUGCUCAACCUCGGAACUGCCUUUGAUACUGGGUGUCUUGAGUAUGAGAGAGGUGUGUGGAACUCCGAGUGUAGAGGUGAAAUUCGUAGAUAUUCGGAAGAACACCAGUGGCGAAGGCGACACACUGGCUCAUUACUGACGCUGAGGCGCGAAAGCGUGGGGAGCAAACAGGAUUAGAAACCCUAGUAGUCC
rnacentral:rRNA from 1 species